GCAAAAGAUUUAUUAAUUUGUUAUUAAUUGCUCACCCUUAUGUCAUUCCAAACCUGGCAGAUUUUGAACAACAUGAAGGUGAGUAAUUAAAGAGGUCAUAUGGUGCGAUUUCAACUUUCCUUUCUUCCUUUGGAGUGUUACAAGCUGUUAGUGCAUAGGUAAGAUCUAUUAAUAUAUUAAACAUAACAUAUUUACCCACACAGAUGCACCUUUUCACCUAACAAUACAUUUCAAAUCAGACUUGAUUAGUUUCCCACUUCCUCCAAAAAGGCAAGAUUUAAAAAAAAAAAAAAACGGUGGACAUGCAUUUAUUCUCAUUUAAUAAAUCUACAUUCCUCUUUAUAAAUCCCACCAUAUACAUUUAACUCAUUAGUACUGUGACAUUAUUAUGAGUCUCACUUUUAAAGUGAUGAAUUCUGCUCUCUUCAGUCAAUCCAUACUUAGUCAUAUCCUCCGGUCUGGUAUUGACUUGGCGUCCUCAGAAAGUAAUAUCUUGACUUUCGAGCAAGCCAUACUGAAAGAUGACAGCGCUCAGUGGGAUGGCCAUUAUGUUAACGCCCCUAAAUGGUGACAGAUCACUGUGGCGAUGAGAGCCUGACUCAUCAGUUUUAUGGGAGUCAGAGUGCUGUAGAAAGACUUGACCUCAUAGGAGAAGAGCACUUCAGAUUAUGUCAAGUGCAUGAAAAAGUCUCUGCAAGGUAUGUGUGUGUGUGUGUUAUUUUUAAUAACGUCGAUGCUAGAGGACCUGUAAGGUGUGCUUUUGCAUGAGAAAGUAUGACUGACAUUCUAAUAUUCUCUCUGAUUAUACAACACGGACGCCUAUAAACGUCAGUGGAGUGUUAAAAUUACACACCUUAGACAGAGACGGCUGCCUUGUAACCCUGAAAUAGGGGGUUAUAUUUACGUGUUUGUGUGUUCGUGCACAAAAAAUAAUUGCACUGGCGCUUGCUAAGACAAGCACAGCUAUUUUUUCAAACGGUUUGUGCUAUUAAUGUGAAUAGUAGCUAGCAAUUUCCACAUUAUGUAAAAUAAAACAACUAUUUUGAAGAGGGACCAGAAUAUCAUAUUAAACUUUUGACUUUUGGGACAGUAAUCAAUCUCUAACCACUUACAACAUUCUAACAUAAUUGUGGCAUGUUUUUAUGGGAAAGCACUGUUAAAAAUGUGAAAGACAGGUGUUUGACUGCUUCUACAUCGGUAAUUGAAGCUCGUUUGGUCUUGUCUGUUCUGCCGAAGCCUAAAUAUUAGGAAGUAUGACUCAGAAAUAUAUCUCAUACUUGUAUAAUUGUAUGUCUGUAUCUCUAUGGUUACAGAUGAAUAAACAUCUCAGGGCCUCAAUUAUUCAACAAAUGAAGAGCUUGAAGGUCUGUUAUCUGACUAAGUUACAUAAUUUGCUGGAUAAUGGAUGCUCUUGAUCUUUAGUACAGGAAAAUAUAUAAAUAUUGACUUUCAGAUGAGAGAGUUUUUGCGCUGUGAAGAAGGUUGUUGUGGAGAUUCGCGUGUGUGUAUCAAAGUUAUGCUAUAUGUAGUCAAGGUUAGUUGGAUAAGAAGAGUGUGUUUGGGCAGUUGCCAGGACACUUAUGUAGUGUAGUGAUACUAGUCUUGGCAAGCUUACGAAUGUGAACGAUGUGUCAUUGAUGUGUCUUCAGGGGUCACUAUGGAGUCUGCACAGGUGAUCCAAAAAACUUCCUCUGUCAACAGGAAUGAUAAAUGCUUAGUGUGUGCAAUGGCUCACUUGUUUACCUCGUGUGGUGAACAUCAGGAAUGUGUGUGUGUUUGCAGAUGUGUGGGCGAGCGUUUACGUGAUGGUACGCGUUCUGAAACCUGGUCAUAAUGGCAUUCUGGCACUGUCCCAUAACACACCUUUACUACUGAUGUGCAGCAGUUGACGGCUGAGUGGUGAUAGAAGAGUUUCACCGUCGAUAGUUUUUGGUGAGAUGACCAAAUGUGGAAAAAGGAGAGCAGGAUGGAGCUCAAAACAGACUUCUGAUGCGUUUGUGGUUGCUGAUGCCAAGAUAAACACUUCAAACUAUAACAUGUUAGCCUCUCAACCAAUCGGAAUUGAUUACAGGGGAACGGCACUACUUUUAGGGCGUUCACACAGCCACAACAAUUUAAACUUUGAAAGUAGCAGUACAUUUUGAAAAAAAAUAUAUUAAAAAAUAAUAAUGAAUAUUUAGCCCAUCCCGCCAAUUCUAUGUUAUUGCCUGUUUAGCCCCGCCUACCACAUCACAAACAUAGAUAAAUGACAGGAGCGGCAAACUUAGGUCUAUGCAGAGACUAAACGAUAAACUUUAUUUGAUAAACUUGUAAAAGUGCCACACCACAUCAGUAAAAUCUUUUUUGGUUCAUUUCAUUUUACCGCCAGUUCGUUUACAAACAAGGCUUAAUUCGACACAGGAUUUUCAGAAAGAUUGAAACUAAAAGACAAUGCUGUGCAAAGUAUAUUGGAUUCGAUGUCUCACCACACAAGGGUGAGUAACUGCUUUUAUUACAUGAUUACUAUUGCUUUCUGUUAUUACAGGUUCUUUGAUACAGACUGAGUAUUUAUGCGUUAUUACCCUAAACAUACAUAACUGUUAGAUAAAUAGGUAGGUAAAUAGAUAGAUAGAUAGAUAGAUAGAUAGAUAGAUAGAUAGAUGAUUGGCUAUCUAUCGUCUAUCUAUGUCUAUCAUAUACAAAAAAUAAUGACUUUUUAAUACAAAAAAAAACCUCCCCUUUAAUCAUAUCUUCAACAGCUAUUUUACUCUAAAUGGGGCAUAAGGAGAAAAUGUCCUUUUAUGUUCAGAUAGGAGUGAUAAUUGCAGUAAAAGCGAUGGUGGAUUUCUGUGGGAGGUCUUGUUGUGAUGUUAGAUGGUCUGAGAUAACAGCGUGUCCAAGGAUGAGGGUUGGUUAAGCAGCAGGAGGACAAGGAGGAAGUGGCCCAUUUUGGCAGAUUCCUGCAGAGAGACUUGCUAGAGGGUUGUGGGUAGUGAUUGACAAAUUAGGGUGAGUGAAAGUGAAGGAUCAAGCGACUCAGUCACUCGUGAUGGAGGAUGGGAUGCAGGACUGGGUGAAGGGUCAGCGGAGCAAGAGUAGAGGAGUGUACAUCACACACGCACACACUCUUACCCGCACAUUCCUGCGAGUUGAGGGAAAUGACCGUAGUAUGAGUCGAGCGUCCAAGCCUGUGAUCUCGUCGCAGAGCGGCGCCACUGUUGACUCCGUCUGCCCUUGUGUGAGGUCUGCCACCGGAUUCCUAUGUUGUGAGUGGAAGCGGCACCUGCAACAGUGACCACUUUCCUGUUACUGGAUCCAUUCUGUGGUGGCUGUGAGCAUGUGCACUUGUGGAAUUCCCCUUGAGUAACAAAAGAGUCAGAAAGAAACCGAGAGAGAUUGACUGCCUGUCCUUUACAGUUAUUAAACUUUCAUUUUCAUUCUCAGAGCUAGCUCUGCCGGUAGAUAUUAGCGCUCAAUCUUCUGCAUUCCAUUUUUAGUUAAUUAACUUAAGCAUGCUUUAUUUUGCAUUGCCAGUUUCACUGGAUACCUGCGGUCUAAAUAAAUGUUACUGUUUCCAAACCAAGCGUUACAUAACAAUUGGGAUCUAAUUAUUUAGCCCUGCCCACUAGAAACAUCAUUGGUUAAAAAUUUUGCUCCACAUAAGUGUAUCUGCCAUGUUCUGAUUGGCUGGGAUCACAAGUUUCACUUUUAGUGUGGCUAAAUUACAUAUCUAGGUUAGGUUGCUUUUUUAUGAGAAUUGUGCUUGACAUAACGUUGUGAGCAUUCCUGCUAUGAUUUCUCUGCGUGCUGGAUUUCGGAAAGGCACCUUCUGAUUCUGAACUACAGCUCAUUAGAUUUUACUGAUGCAGCGGUGUUUAUUCUACAACUAGUUUGGGCAAAAUAUUCCCUCAAGCUUUCCUGAUGAUUACAAGCUGCGAGUGUGGUGAAAAAAAGAGAAUUUUUUCUUAAAAACAUCUGUUGCGGUGACAAGUUGUUUUUGAUUGAGCUCAUCCAUUUCCAUCGGCCCUCCCUUUUCCCUCAGCAACCUCAAAGCGACGUGUCCUCAACCUCAAAACAACGUUCCUGCGUAACCAACCGCUUGUUUUCGAGGGAUUCUUGCGAAACAGCACACCCCAGUGGUCGCAUUAGUACUGCGGCUACGAAUGAAUUAGUGCCUGAUGGAUGACACAUGAAGCAUUUACUGAAAGAGAGGCUGAGAGAGGAGAGGCGAGGGAGGAGGUAGAGAGAGAAAGUGAGAUUGGCUUGCCUGCGGACUCACUUGGCAGGAAUCGCUUGACUGGAUGUGUCGUAUAUGACUGUGCAAAACACGCGCACACGCACAGACGCAGUGAGUGAAAGUAACAGGAGAGGCUGCUCGGGAUCACUCUGUUGUGGAAAGUAGAGCAGCAAGGUUCCUUCGCAGGAACUUAUUGGAUUCUCUCAGUUGCUGUUGGAUGGCGAACAAAGUCAGGAGAUGUCUGCGUGACAUGCGACUGUAUUGGUGGUCCCGGGCAGGUGCUUUCUGGGUCACGAGGCGGUACGAGCUUUGGAGGGAUGCCUGUAUGUCUUUAAAUGCAGGAAGACCAGUGAAAGAGGCUGCCGGGGUAAAUGAGCGAUAUCCAAGUUAAGCACUUCAGUUUUGGGAAGCAGCCUUGGCCCUGGGCCCUCUGUUAAGAGAUCUCUGCUUUAUGACUCGCUCCUGUGGUUAGCUGGAAGCCUGACCCCGUGCCGCUGACAAGCCAUCAAAGCAAAUACUGUGUGAACAACACGCAGGCAACUGCGGCGGAGUUAUUUUUUUCCUUUGCUGUUAAUCGCCGCUGAGAUGGACCCUCUGACAGAUGAUCUGAUUUAAGGCUUGUUUGCGGCGUGAGUCAGAGGAAGUGCGCUUCAGUGCAAGUGCAGUGAAAUAAAGAACAAAUGCGCACUGUAAACUCAGAGGAAGGGGGGUAACAGACAUCCCUAAGGAUUGCGGGGGGAGCGCUGAGUUACGUGAGCCGUAGCCGACGGCUAGACGUGAGUCAGUUAAGACUCAUGGUACUUAUUCAAUUAUGCAUACACUACAGUAAUAUAAAGGCCUAUGAGACUUCCAAGAAGCUAUUCCCUCAUAGACAGGAAUGUGUCAUUUCUCGGAAAACUGGUGUUGGUUUAAAUAAAAACGUGAUGAACUUUA